UACGUAGGGUGCGAGCGUUGUCCGGAAUUAUUGGGCGUAAAGAGCUCGUAGGCGGCCUGUCGCGUCGGUUGUGAAAGCCCGGGGCUUAACCCCGGGUCUGCAGUCGAUACGGGCAGGCUAGAGUUCGGUAGGGGAGACUGGAAUUCCUGGUGUAGCGGUGAAAUGCGCAGAUAUCAGGAGGAACACCGGUGGCGAAGGCGGGUCUCUGGGCCGAUACUGACGCUGAGGAGCGAAAGCGUGGGGAGCGAACAGG
rnacentral:rRNA from 1 species